rnacentral:rRNA from 1 species
AGUGAACGCUGGCGGCGUGCCUAAUACAUGCAAGUCGAACGGAGUGGCGCACGGGUGGGUAAUGUAUAGCUAAUCUGCCCUACACUAGAGGACAACAGUUGGAAACGACUGCUAAUACUCUAUAGUGUAGGAUGAGGCUAUAUUGUAUCAGCUAGUUGGUGAGGUAAUGGCUCACCAAGGCUAUGACGGAUAACUGGUCUGAGAGGAUGAUAAGUCACGCUGGAACUGAGACACGGUCCAGAAUCCUACGGGAAGCAGCAGUAGGGAAUAUUGCUCAAUGGGGGAAACGCUGAAGCAGCAACGCCUCGUGGAGGAUUACACUCUGCGGAGCGUAAACUCCUGUUGUUAGGGAAGCGGUACCUAACGAAUAAGCACCGGCUAACUCCGUGCCAGCCGCCGCGGUAAUUC